CGGACAAUAACUCAAAAACACUUUCACCAAUUUCCAUGAAACUUUAGUGAAUUGUUUAUAUCUAUUGACGUAAGCUCCCUUUCGUUUUUUUUUAAUUUCAGAUUUUAAGUUUUGGAUUUAUGGGGCUUUAUUCAUAAAAAAAGGGGGGAUUUUCAACACUUCGGACAAUAACUCAAAAAGGCUUUCACCAAUGUCCAUGAAACUUUGGUGAAUUGUUUAUAUCUAUUGAUGUAAGCUCCCUUUCAAUUUUUAUAAAUUUCAGAUUUUAAGUUUUGGAUUAAUGGGGCUUUAUUCAUAAAAAAGGGGGAUUUUUAACACUUCGGAC
rnacentral:lncRNA from 1 species